UAUAGCGCCCCGGCGUUAGGACCACGCGAUUACGUAUGGAGAGACAGGCUCCAGCAGCCUCACGCACAGACACGCACGGCGCACGGCGAGGCAGUUUCAAGCUGCGUCCCUUCAGUAAGGUCCUCGUCUGUCGCUCAUGGGGAACACUCAGUGAGCUCCUCUCUCUACGGUCAGCGGUUUCUAGGAUGGAUUUUGCCCCGAUUCUGCGCUUUCUUGCGUUGAUACGGUCGCCGGAUAACUUUGGAGACCUAUGAUGAGGAUGUUUGUUUGAGGGAGAUGUGUUUGAUGGAGGUAUAAGUGCGCUUCACGUCGCGCAGUGGAUCGACAGGCUUGAUGGAAACGAUGUCGCCUCAGCAGGGAAGCAUGGCACAAACCCGCUCCGGGUCAACCGGGGAGGGCAAGGUCGAGAAUAAAAAGAAGAUGAAGACUCUGGCCCAGAGGCGUCAGUCUGCUCCUCCAUGGUGAUCAGCAAAGCACUUACCAAAUCAAGGAGCUCCAGCGUGCCAUUGUUUACUUAGAGAGAGGGAGGGAGAGAGCGACGGAGAGAGAGACUGACUGAUAGGGAGAGAAAGAGGAAGAGGGUACACAGGAGCAGAGCACCUGAC
ensembl:lncRNA